AGAUAACCACUUGUAGACCGAUGCCAAUGAGGAAGUGUCGCAGGAAUCAGACAGCGAAUACGUGUUGUGGGCAGCCACUAGUACUGCCACCGAGCAUGACAGCGAAGUCUCCAAACCAUAAACCAGUCAAAGUACGAUGUUUUAUGCAGCAACCGAAAUAGACAGCAAAGGUGAGAACGACAUGUCCUGUCCAUCGGGAACAGAAUGGAAUAUUGAUGACAAUAGUUGUUCUACCAAUUCGACAGAAUCAGACUGGACUGUUUAUAAGAAUCACUGUUCAGACACAGACACGGAGGAAAGUUAUGAAAAAGAAGACCCCGACAGUGAAACAGAACAACAAUCAGAGCACGACGGCAUAGACGAUAACGAUAAAAUAGGUGAUACCAGGUGCCAACAAGCUAGACGACCCGCAA